GCCCGAUGGAGGGGGAUAACUACUGGAAACGGUAGCUAAUACCGCAUAACGUCGCAAGACCAAAGAGGGGGACCUUCGGGCCUCUUGCCAUCGGAUGUGCCCAGAUGGGAUUAGCUAGUAGGUGGGGUAAAGGCUCACCUAGGCGACGAUCCCUAGCUGGUCUGAGAGGAUGACCAGCCACACUGGAACUGAGACACGGUCCAGACU
rnacentral:rRNA from 1 species